AUUGAACGCUGGCGGCAGGCCUAACACAUGCAAGUCGAGCGGAUGAAGGGAGCUUGCUCCUGGAUUCAGCGGCGGACGGGUGAGUAAUGCCUAGGAAUCUGCCUGGUAGUGGGGGAUAACGUCCGGAAACGGGCGCUAAUACCGCAUACGUCCUGAGGGAGAAAGUGGGGGAUCUUCGGACCUCACGCUAUCAGAUGAGCCUAGGUCGGAUUAGCUAGUUGGUGGGGUAAAGGCCUACCAAGGCGACGAUCCGUAACUGGUCUGAGAGGAUGAUCAGUCACACUGGAACUGAGACACGGUCCAGACUCCUACGAGAGGCAGCAGUGGGGAAUAUUGGACAAUGGGCGAAAGCCUGAUCCAGCCAUGCCGCGUGUGUGAAGAAGGUCUUCUGAUUGUAAAGCACUUUAAGUUGGGAGGAAGGGCAGUAAGUUAAUACCUUGCUGUUUUGACGUUACCAACAGAAUAAGCACCGGCUAACUUCGUG
rnacentral:rRNA from 1 species